rnacentral:tRNA from 1 species
GGAGUUGUGGCUCAGUGGUAGAGCACUCGCCUAGCAUGUGUGAAGCACUGGGUUCGAUCUUCAGCACCA